AUUGAACGCUGGCGGCAUGCCUUACACAUGCAAGUCGAACGGUAACGGGCCUUCGGGUGCCGACGAGUGGCGAACGGGUGGGUAAUACAUCGGAACGUGCCCGAUCGUGGGGGAUAACGAGGCGAAAGCUUUGCUAAUACCGCAUACGAUCUACGGAUGAAAGCCGGGGACCGCAAGGCCUUGCGCGGACGGAGCGGCCGAUGGCAGAUUAGGUAGUUGGUGGGAUAAAAGCUUACCAAGCCGACGAUCUGUAGCUGGUGUGAGAGGAUGAUCAGCCACACUGGGACUGAGACACGGCCCAGACUCCUACGGGAGGCAGCAGUGGGGAAUGUUGGGCGAUGGGCGCAAGCCUGAUCCAGCCAUGCCGCGUGCAGGAUGAAGGCCUUCGGGUUGUAAACUGCUUUUGUACGGAACGAAAAGCCUUCUUUUAAUACAGGAGGGUCAUGACGGUACCGGAAGAAUAAGCACCGGCUAACUACGUG
rnacentral:rRNA from 1 species